rnacentral:rRNA from 1 species
UCGAGGGGCAACAUGGUAUCAGCUUGCUGAUACCGAUGGCGACCGGCGCACGGGUGAGUAACGCGUAUGUAAUCUGCCUAUCAGAGGGGGAUAACCUUUCGAAAGAAAGAUUAAUACCCGAUGGCAUAGUUCUUCCGCAUGGUAGAACUAUUAAAGAAUUUCGGUCAUCGAUGGGGAUGCGUUCCAUUAGGUUGUUGGCGGGGUAACGGCCCACCAAGCCUUCGAUGGAUAGGGGUUCUGAGAGGAAGGUCCCCACAUUGGAACUGAGACACGGUCCAAACUCC